UCUCCGUAGGUGAACCUGCGGAGGGAUCAUUACAGAGUUCAUGCCCUCACGGGUAGAUCUCCCACCCUGUGUUAUUAUACUUUGUUGCUUUGGCAGGCCGCCCGCGUGGGCUACCGGCUCCAGCUGGUAAGUGCCCGCCAGAGGACCCCAAACUCUGAAUAUUUUAUUGUCUGAGUACUAUAUAAUAGUUUAAAACUUUCAACAACGGAUCUCUUGGUUCUG
rnacentral:misc_RNA from 1 species